rnacentral:rRNA from 1 species
UACGGAGGGUGCAAGCGUUAUCCGGAUUCACUGGGUUUAAAGGGUGCGUAGGAGGGCAGGUAAGUCAGUGGUGAAAUCUUCGAGCUUAACUCGGAACUGCCGUUGAUACUAUCUGUCUUGAAUAUUGUGGAGGUGAGCGGAAUAUGUCAUGUAGCGGUGAAAUGCUUAGAUAUGACAUAGAACACCAAUUGUGAAGGCAGCUCGCUACACAUAUAUUGACUCUGAUGCACGAAAGCGUGGGGAUCAAACAGG